UUUUUUUUUCUUUGUUCUCUAACUUGGUAUUUGCAUUUGCAAGGACCGUCGCAAAGGUAGGUGAGCGUUUCAAUUUGCGCUCAGUCGAACGCAUUGUGACUUAUCUGGCUUCUAGUAGUUGCUCCUUGAUCUGAUCAUCGAUUGUUAGCUCCAGCUUUGGAGUUCUCGGCUUCUCGAGCCGUGUCGGUGUUCCUGAGACGUAAAUCAAAUCUAUGGAUCCAGAA
rnacentral:lncRNA from 7 species